rnacentral:rRNA from 1 species
UACGGGGGGGGCAAGCGUUGUUCGGAAUUACUGGGCGUAAAGGGCUCGUAGGCGGCCAACUAAGUCGGACGUGAAAUCCCUCAGCUUAACUGGGGAACUGCGUGUGAUACUGGAUGGCUUGGAUUUGGGAGAGGGAUGCGGAAUUCCAGGUGUAGCGGUGAAAUGCGUAGAUAUCUGGAGGAACACCGGUGGCGAAGGCGGCGUUCUGGACUGUAACUGACACUGAGAAACGAAAGCCAGGGUAGCAAACGGG